rnacentral:rRNA from 1 species
GCGAACGCUGGCGGCAGGCCUAACACCUGCAAGUCGCACGAACCUUUCGGGGUUAGUGGCGGACGGGUGAGUAACACGUGGGAACGUGCCUUUAGGUUCGGAAUAACUCAGGGAAACUUGUGCUAAUACCGAAUGUGCCCUUCGGGGGAAAGAUUAAUCGCCUUUAGAGCGGCCCGCGUCUGAUUAGCUAGUUGGUUGAGGUAAUGGCUCACCAAGGCGACGAUCAGUAGCUGGUCUGAGAGGAUGAUCAGCCACAUUGGGACUGAGACACGGCCCAAACUCCUACGGGAGGCAGCAGUGGGGAAUCUUGCGCAAUGGGCGAAAGCCUGACGCAGCCAUGCCGCGUGAAUGAUGAAGGUCUUAGGAUUGUAAAAUUCUUUCACCGGGGACGAUAAUGACGGUACCCGGAGAAGAAGCCCCGGCUAACUUCGUG